rnacentral:rRNA from 1 species
UACGUAGGGCGCAAGCGUUGUCCGGAAUUAUUGGGCGUAAAGAGCUCGUAGGCGGUCUGUCGCGUCUGCCGUGAAAACCCGAGGCUUAACCUCGGGCCUGCGGUGGAUACGGGCAGACUAGAGGUAGGUAGGGGAGAACGGAAUUCCCGGUGUAGCGGUGAAAUGCGCAGAUAUCGGGAGGAACACCGGUGGCGAAGGCGGUUCUCUGGGCCUUACCUGACGCUGAGGAGCGAAAGCUAGGGGAGCAAACGGG